rnacentral:rRNA from 2 species
UGAAAGACGGCUUCGGGUGUGACUUACAGAUGGGCCCGCGGCGGAUUGCGAGGUGGUGAGGUAGUGGGUCACCGAGGCAACGAUGCGUAGCCGACCUGAGAGGGUGAUGGGCGACUCUGGGACUGAGACACGGCCCAGACUACUACGGGAGGCAGCAGUAGGGAAUCUUCCGCAAUGGACGAAAGUCUGACGGAGCAACGCCGCGUGAACGAUGAAGGCUUUCGGGUCGUAAAGUUCUGUUGUCAGGGAAGAACAAGUACCGGAGUAACUGCCGGUACCUUGACGGUACCUGACCAGAAAGCCACGGCUAACUACGUGCCAGCAGCCGCGGUAAUACGUAGGUGGCAAGCGUUGUCCGGAAUUAUUGGGCGUAAAGCGCGCGCAGGCGGUUCCUUAAGUCUGAUGUGAAAGCCCCCGGCUCAACCGGGGAGGGUCAUUGGAAACUGGGGAACUUGAGUGCAGAAGAGGAGAGCGGAAUUCCACGUGUAGCGGUGAAAUGCGUAGAGAUGUGGAGGAACACCAGUGGCGAAAGCGGCUCUCUGGUCUGUAACUGACGCUGAGGCGCGAAAGCGUGGGGAGCGAACAGGAUUAGAUACCCCUGGGUAGUCCACGCCGUAAACGAUGAGUGCUAAGUGUUAGAGGGUUUCCGCCCUUUA